UACGUAGGGUGCAAGCGUUGUCCGGAUUUAUUGGGCGUAAAGAGCUCGUAGGCGGUUUGUCGCGUCGAAUGUGAAAACCCGGGGCUCAACUCCGGCCUGCAUUCGAUACGGGCAUCACUGGAGUUCGGCAGGGGAGACUGGAAGUUCCUGGUGUAGCGGUGAAUGACGCAGAUAUCAGGAGGAACACCCGUAGCGAAGGCGGCACUCUGGGCCGAUACUGACACUGAGGAGCGAAAGCGUGGGGAGCGAACAGG
rnacentral:rRNA from 1 species